GGACUGCCAUGGCUAUGUCUCCAUGUGGCCAUUGUUGAAAUAAACCCAGUGAAGUCUUUUUCACUGGCUCCUUCAUUUUCACUUGACCAGAUCCCUCUGGUUUUAUUUCCUGAGCCCAAAUAUAGCCCUGCAUUUGAUGGGUGCGGCCGACAGGAACUGCCUUUCUGCCACCUUUCCUUUCCUCUCGAGGUAAGAGGAGUCCUGGGGCAUGCAUGAAGCUACCUGUAUGAGCUUAGCAGACAGGCCUGCUCUGAAUCUCUUCUCUCUUAAUUACCAGUUGUAGGAGUUUAGGCAAGUAACUCAACCUCUGUGUAUCUCUUCAUCAGUGAAAUGUGGUGGCCAGGAGGAUUAAAUGAGAUGAAGUUUGUGUGAUGCUUAUCCCUGUGUCUGGCACAUAGUGUCCAGUAAAUGGUAGCCACGGUUAUUAGCUGCCCAAGUCCAAUCAGUACACUUUCAGCCUGCAUCUCCCUGUCCUCCCUGCUACUUGGGUCCUUUCGAUGAUCUGUGUUCUUGUAUUUUCAACUUUCUUUCCCUUAGCAUAGAAAUGAGUUGGGCUCACUUGUUUUAAAACCUCUUCCCCUCAACCCUGCAUCUUUUCUGGUCCCAUCCUAAAUCCCUUGUCCCUUCACUCCUGGUGUCUCUCACCUCCUCAUUCCUCAGCCCGCUGCACUCUGGAACCUGCUCCUCAGCCCAGUGAACUAACUCUCGCCAAGGUCACCAAUGCUGUCUCACCUGACUGCCCCAAUGACUGCAGGCCUUCGCCGACAUUCUCCCCGUAGCAGCGUGCUGUUCCCCACUCAAGGUAGGUCUCUGCCCUCUGGGGCUCCCUGCCCAGUGCCCCAGCAAGGGCCGAGGGCACUGUUCUUCAGACUGGAACCAGGCCCUUGGCCCAAGCCACAAAUCAGACCAGGACACAUUACCAGUGAAAGUGUUUAAUAGUUAAAUUAUUUAAAUAGACUUUUCAAUUUCCAUGGGAAAUCAUAAUCCUAUCUGUUUUUGCAAGAGCAGGAAUAAAAAGAGUGCACACCCUUGGAGGGAAUGAAGAGCUAGCACUGCAUGGUGUUGCCAGUCACUGCUGGGAUAGGAGGGAUGGGCCCCCGAGAGGCCAAGGAGACCGUAACCAAUGGGGGGAACCACCGGAGGAACUCAGCACGCACACGUUACUCAGAUGAAGAGCAAAGCCACCACCCUCCCUGAACCUGAGGGCUGCACAUUACCCCCAAGUCUGAGGCACUAUCUCUGGGCGAGCCACCUGCACGGUAACCAACUGAGAAAGGUAGGCAGGUAAGGCUUCCCACCACCACCGCCCUCCCCCCCCCCCCCCUACCCCCCCCCCCACCAGCUGAGCACCUGCGGCCAUCCCUGAGCACUCACAGCUGCCUCUCUGCAGGCAGCAAAUGGUUGGCAUCUCAGGGAGAAGAGGGGACAGGGGCCGUGCUGUCUGUUGCAGGCUGAGGCUGCUUCCCUUGGUUCCACCUGAGCCUGAGAUGGGAAGGCAGUUUUUGUUUUAUUAUCCAUUUGCAUUUUACUUAGGGGAAGUGAUGUGUUAGAGAGAUGGGGUAAUGUACGCAUGCACCUUCCCAUUUAAUCUGACUGUAGGGCACCCCAAAAGGACACGCUCACUGCUCUGGUUGGACCUGGGAAAACCCAAAACUGCCUAAUCUGAAGUGAGGGCAAGAGGCAUCCUGCAUGUGACCAGUUCCACGGCAUAAACACACACACAUCUACACCAGUACAUACGCUGACACACGUACAGUACAAACGCUGUGCACAGCUGUUUUCUAAUAUAGUUUACAAAAUAUAGAAUUUGGUAUAUUUGUUAGAUCUCCAAGGUUUUCAAUAAUACAAAAUAAAAAAUACAAAAAAGACAA